GACUCAGUGAAUGAUGUAAAUUUCUUUCCCCGUCUUAUCGAUCAUGGUGAUUUGUACAAAUAAGCCAAAUACUUCUGACACUGAAAA